rnacentral:rRNA from 1 species
GGUUAAGCGACUAAGCGUACACGGUGGAUGCCCUGGCAGUCAGAGGCGAUGAAGGACGUGCUAAUCUGCGAUAAGCGCCGGUAAGGUGAUAUGAACCGUUAUAACCGGCGAUUUCCGAAUGGGGAAACCCAGUGUGAUUCGUCACACUAUCAUUAACUGAAUCCAUAGGUUAA